rnacentral:rRNA from 1 species
AUUGAACGCUGGCGGCAUGCCUAACACAUGCAAGUCGAACGAGUGGCGGACGGGUGAGUAAUGUCUGGGAAACUGCCAGAUGGAGGGGGCUAACUCCUGAAACCGGUAGCUAAUACCGCAUACCAUUCGAUUUUACCAGGUGGGAUUAGUUAGUUGGUGGGUUAACGGCUCACCAAGGCGACGAUCCCUAGCUGGUCUGAGAGGAUGACCAGCCACACUGGAACUGAGACACGGUCCAGACUCCUACGGGAGGCAGCAGUGGGGAAUAUUGCACAAUGGGCGAAAGCCUGAUGGAGCAAUGCCGCGUGAGUGAAGAAGGUCUUCGGGUUGUAAAUUACUGUCAGCGGGGAGGCGUUACCCGAACAAGAAGCACCGGCUAACUCCGUGCCAGCAGCCGCGGUAAUAC